CUACGGGGCGCACCUGUGGGGAAUAUUGGACAAUGGGGGAAACCCUGAUCCAGCAAUGCCGCGUGUGUGAAGAAGGCCUGCGGGUUGUAAAGCACUUUCGGUUGGGAGGACUGCUUCUAGCACUAAUAUUGUUGGAAGUUGACGUUACCUUCAGAAGAAGCACCGGCUAACUCCGUGCCAGCAGCCGCGGUAAUACGGAGGGUGCGAGCGUUAAUCGGAAUUACUGGGCGUAAAGCGCGCGUAGGCGGCUAGAUCAGUCGGGUGUGAAAGCCCCGGGCUUAACCUGGGAACUGCAUCCGAUACUGGCUAGCUUGAGUACAGGAGAGGAGAGUGGAAUUCCACAUGUAGCGGUGAAAUGCGUAGAUAUGUGGAGGAACACCAAUGGCGAAGGCAGCUCUCUGGCCUGAUACUGACGCUGAGGUGCGAAAGCGUGGGGAGCAAACAGGAUUAGAUACCCUUGUAGUC
rnacentral:rRNA from 1 species